rnacentral:tRNA from 1 species
CCGUCCGUAGCUCAGCCGGAUAGAGCAACGGCCUUCUAAGCCGUGGGUCGGGGGUUCGAGCCCCUCCGGACGGGCCA